AUGUGGGGUAGGGAUAAAACGCUGAAACUGAAUCGCGGAAACGGAAACUGAAAGCGGAAACUGAAAUGGGGGUAAAACGCUGAAAUGGGGGUAAAACACUGAAAUGGGGGUAAAACGCUGAAAUGGGAGUAAAACGCUGAAAUGGGGGUAAAACGCUGAAAUGGGGGUAAAACGCUGAAAUGGGGAUAAAACGCUGAAAUGGGGAAAUUUAAUCGAAUUCGUUGUUUGCUAGACCAUUGCGAACGGCAAUUGCUAGAUAGUAUACUUCAAAAUAAGGUUUCCGUUUUUAUAUCAAUUUUUAAAAUAAGUUGGGGUUAGGUUAGGGUUUAGGUUAGGUUAGGGUUACUGGGUAAGGGUUAGUAUUAGGGUUAGGGUUUAGUUUUAUGUUAGGAUAGUUUUUUCUACGUUAUAUGACGUCAAUGCAACAGCCAGUUUAUGCACCUCGGUCAGCGUCAGCAACGCCACAAGGAUCCCAACAGGUCCCAUUACCUACCGCUGUCAAUCCUCCAGUAGGAACAUUUGUUCUUAGUCUUUUGCAGUGUUGUCCUCCUUUAGUUCGCACCUGUUUUGGGUGUUCCCAAUCGUUAAAACUCGGCGGGAUUAUCGCAAGUCCACCGUAUGAUUUGACGAUUAUUACACGUAUGAAUAGAGGUUUUCCUAACCCUAAUACUCCUGAUGGACAGUUGAUGUUCAAAGAACAAAAUGUAUAUUUCCAUGUAUAAAUUUGAGUUGCCUCAAGAUGAAGCAGUCAUAUUUUAACCCUGCCUGCGUAACUGUACCAAAUUGGCUGCCAUAUUAUUUAACACCAGAACAUGUGCGCUUUUUACGAGAGUUUGGUGCUCAAAUUUGACGUGGCAUGAUGUCGAUAUUGUUUUGUUUUUUAGUUUGUUCAGUUAGUUUGUUCAAUUCUACACGGCCAAAAACGCUGAGCCUGCUGUACUGCCUGUACUGUAC
rnacentral:lncRNA from 1 species